AGUGGUAGCUCGUGGUUAAGGCGUUGGACUUCUGAUCAAAAGGUCAUGAGUUCAAAUCCCAGUACCACCA